GCUAGGACGAACGCUGGCGGCGUGCUUAACACAUGCAAGUCGAGCGAUGAAGCUCCUUCGGGAGUGGAUUAGCGGCGGACGGGUGAGUAACACGUGGGUAACCUGCCUCAUAGAGGGGAAUAGCCUUUCGAAAGGAAGAUUAAUACCGCAUAAGAUUGUAGUACCGCAUGGUACAGCAAUUAAAGGAGUAAUCCGCUAUGAGAUGGACCCGCGUCGCAUUAGCUAGUUGGUGAGGUAACGGCUCACCAAGGCGACGAUGCGUAGCCGACCUGAGAGGGUGAUCGGCCACAUUGGGACUGAGACACGACCCAGACUCCUACGGGAGGCAGCAGUGGGGAAUAUUGCACAAUGGGGGAAACCCUGAUGCGGCAACGCCGCGUGAGUGAUGACGGCCUUCGGGUUGUAAAACUCUGUCUUUGGGGACGAUAAUGACGGUACCCAAGGAGGAAGCCACGGCUAACUACGUGCCAGCCGCGGC
rnacentral:rRNA from 1 species